GUCGAGCGGAGUGAUGGUGCUUGCACUAUCACUUAGCGGCGGACGGGUGCAGUAAUGCUUAGGAAUCUGCCUAUUAGUGGGGGACAACAUUUCGAAAGGAAUGCUAAUACCGCAUACGUCCUACGGGAGAAAGCAGGGGAUCUUCGGACCUUGCGCUAAUAGAUGAGCCUAAGUCGGAUUAGCUAGUUGGUGGGGUAAAGGCCUACCAAGGCGACGAUCUGUAGCGGGUCUGAGAGGAUGAUCCGCCACACUGGGACUGAGACACGGCCCAGACUCCUACGGGAGGCAGCAGUGGGGAAUAUUGGACAAUGGGCGCAAGCCUGAUCCAGCCAUGCCGCGUGUGUGAAGAAGGCCUUAUGGUUGUA
rnacentral:rRNA from 1 species